rnacentral:rRNA from 1 species
UGGGGAAUAUUGCACAAUGGGGGAAAGCCCUGAUGCAGCAACGCCGCGUGAAGGAAGAAGGUUUUCGGAUCGUAAACUUCUAUCAACAGGGACGAAACAAAUGACGGUACCUGAAUAAGAAGCCCCGGCUAACUACGCGCCAGCAGCCGCGGUAAUACGUAGGGGGCAAGCGUUAUCCGGAAUUACUGGGUGUAAAGGGAGCGUAGGCGGCACGUCAAGCCAGAUGUGAAAGCCCGGGGCUUAACCCCGUGGAUUGCAUUUAGGAACUGGCGAGCUAGAGUACAGGAGAGGAAAGCGGAAUUCCUAGUGUAGCGGUGAAAUGCGUAGAUAUUAGGAGGAACACCAGUGGCGAAGGCGGCUUACUGGACGGUAACUGACGUUGAGGCUCGAAAGCGUGGGGAGCAAACAGGAUUAGAUACCC